GCCAAAAUAGCGUAGCGGUAACGCGUUAGGCUUUAAGCUGGAAUGAUUUUAGCGUCGUGAGUUAGAAACCCGCUGUCGGCG
rnacentral:tRNA from 1 species